ensembl:snoRNA
UUCCAAAGUGCCAAGUUUAGUUCAGGGCAGCCUUCCCUGUUCUGUUAACUAAACUUUGGGACAUUGAAAUGGGAUAUGGGAGAUGACUGGUUAGAAAACAUUAUUCGUUUGCCUGCUUGGCAACGAAU